rnacentral:snoRNA from 1 species
AUUGCCUCUAGAGGCGUUGCGGGUGUGGCUGCUGUGUCAGUGGGUGGCAGAGAGGAGAGAGAGGCCAUGUCCAUACAGUGUUCUGACCUAUGAACAUCUGAAUGAUUAGUAGCCUAACACU